rnacentral:rRNA from 1 species
GAUGAACGCUGGCGGCGUGCCUAACACAUGCAAGUCGAACGGAGCUGCUUUGAUGAAGUUUUCGGAUGGAUUUAAAACAGCUUAGUGGCGGACGGGUGAGUAACGCGUGGGUAACCUGCCUCACACUGGGGGAUAACAGUUAGAAAUAGCUGCUAAUACCGCAUAAGCGCACAGUUCCGCAUGGAACAGUGUGAAAAACUCCGGUGGUGUGAGAUGGACCCGCGUCUGAUUAGCCAGUUGGCGGGGUAACGGCCCACCAAAGCGACGAUCAGUAGCCGGCCUGAGAGGGUGAACGGCCACAUUGGGACUGAGACACGGCCCAAACUCCUACGGGAGGCAGCAGUGGGGAAUAUUGCACAAUGGGGGAAACCCUGAUGCAGCGACGCCGCGUGAGUGAAGAAGUAUUUCGGUAUGUAAAGCUCUAUCAGCAGGGAAGAAAGUGACGGUACCUGAAUAAGAAGCCCCGGCUAACUACGUGCCAGCCGCCGCGGUAAUAC